GGAGGGGAAGCAGUCCCGGUGGGCUGGCCGGUCUUCAAAACCGGUGAAGGGCGUCAGACGCUCUUAGUAGGUUCGACUCCUACUCUCUUCCGCCA
rnacentral:tRNA from 1 species